AUUGAACGCUGGCGGCAGGCUUAACACAUGCAAGUCGAGCGGAGAUGAGGUGCUUGCACCUUAUCUUAGCGGCGGACGGGUGAGUAAUGCUUAGGAAUCUGCCUAUUAGUGGGGGACAACAUUCCGAAAGGAAUGCUAAUACCGCAUACGUCCUACGGGAGAAAGCAGGGGAUCUUCGGACCUUGCGCUAAUAGAUGAGCCUAAGUCGGAUUAGCUAGUUGGUGGGGUAAAGGCCUACCAAGGCGACGAUCUGUAGCGGGUCUGAGAGGAUGAUCCGCCACACUGGGACUGGGACACGGCCCAGACUCCUACGGGAGGCAGCAGUGGGGAAUAUUGGACAAUGGGGGGAACCCUGAUCCAGCCAUGCCGCGUGUGUGAAGAAGGCCUUAUGGUUGUAAAGCACUUUAAGCGAGGAGGAGGCUACUGAGACUAAUACUCUUGGAUAGUGGACGUUACUCGCAGAAUAAGCACCGGCUAACUACGUGCCAGCAGCCGCCGUAACAC
rnacentral:rRNA from 1 species